rnacentral:rRNA from 1 species
UUUUUCCUACGGGAGGCAGCAGUGAGGAAUAUUGGUCAAUGGGCGAGAGCCUGAACCAGCCACGUCGCGUGAAGGAUGACGGCCCUACGGGUUGUAAACUUCUUUUGUCAGGGAGCUAUUGGGUCCACGUGUGGGCUUAGCGAGAGUACCUGAAGAAAAAGCAUCGGCUAACUCCGUGCCAGCAGCCGCGGUAAUACGGAGGAUGCGAGCGUUAUCCGGAUUUAUUGGGUUUAAAGGGAGCGUAGAUGGGUUGUUAAGUCAGUUGUGAAAGUUUGCGGCU